AGAGUUGAUCAUGGCUCAGGAUGAACGCUGGCGGCGUGCCUAACACAUGCAAGUCGAGCGAUUCUCUUCGGAGAAGAGCGGCGGACGGGUGAGUAACGCGUGGGUAACCUGCCCUAUACACACGGAUAACGUACCGAAAGGUACGCUAAUACGAGAUAAUAUGCUUUAGUCGCAUGGCUGAAGUAUCAAAGCUCCGGCGGUAUAGGAUGGACCCGCGUCUGAUUAGCUAGUUGGUAAGGUAAUGGCUUACCAAGGCGACGAUCAGUAGCCGACCUGAGAGGGUGAUCGGCCACAUUGGAACUGAGACACGGUCCAAACUCCUACGGGAGGCAGCAGUGGGGAAUAUUGCACAAUGGGCGAAAGCCUGAUGCCAGCAACGCCGCGUGAGCGAUGAAGGCCUUCGGGUCGUAAAGCUCUGUCCUCAAGGAAGAUAAUGACGGUACUUGAGGAGGAAGCCCCGGCUAACUACGUGCCAGCCGCCGC
rnacentral:rRNA from 1 species